ensembl:antisense Gm15353 predicted gene 15353
AGGAAUGCAGGAAGAGUCUCGGGAUCAGGAGCCCACAGGCUGGACUCACUCCAGCUUCUGCAGAGUCGGAACGAAGCCUCAGGAGGGAUGGCUCCACAGCAAGAAUCACCCUUUGGUUAACCCAUGACAACCCUUGGCGCAGCCAGGGGCUUGGCUACUGGUUCUGGUGCCCCGUGGCGCAGCUCAGGACCUUAGAGUCUGAUCAUCAGUUCGGAUCAGAGAGCGGCUUGGGCCGCCAGCACCUACCUGAGGCUGUAGCAGCCGUGGCCUCUGCUUUGUCUGGAACCAGCCUGAUGCCAUCAGACACGUCCACCUGGUGAUCAGCCUCCUCCCUUGAGGCCCCAUCAUGCUGUGGUGACAGAGGAUUGCUUCUAA